rnacentral:tRNA from 1 species
GGGCCAAUAGCUCAGUCAGGUACGAGCGCUCGGCUGAUAACCGGGAGGUCACCGGUUCAAAUCCGGUUUGGCCCA